rnacentral:rRNA from 1 species
AGAGUUUGAUCAUGGCUCAGGAUGAACGCUAGCGACAGGCUUAACACAUGCAAGUCGAGGGGCAGCACAAUGUAGCAAUACACGGGUGGCGACCGGCGCACGGGUGAGUAACGCGUAUGCAACUUGCCUAUCAGAGGGGGAUAACCCGUCGAAAGACGGACUAAUACCGCAUGAAACAGGGGCCCCGCAUGGGGAUAUUUGUUAAAGAUACAUCGCUGAUAGAUAGGCAUGCGUUCCAUUAGGUAGUUGGCGGGGCAACGGCCCACCAAGCCGACGAUGGAUAGGGGUUCUGAGAGGAAGGUCCCCCACACUGGUACUGAGACACGGACCAGACCCCUACGGGAGGCAGCAGUGAGGAAUAUUGGUCAAUGGGCGAGAGCCUGAACCAGCCAAGUCGCGUGAGGGAUGACGGCCCUACGGGUUGUAAACCUCUUUUAUAAGGGAAUAAAGGACAUCACGUGUGGUGUUUUGCAUGUACCUUAUGAAUAAGCAUCGGCUAACUCCGUGCCAGCAGCCGCGGUAAUACGGAGGAUGCGAGCGUUAUCCGGAUUCAUUGGGUUUAAAGGGUGCGUAGGUUGCCGAUUAAGUCAGCGGUGAAAGUCAGUGGCUCAACCAUUGAGCUGCCGUUGAAACUGGUUGGCUUGAGUACGUACGGGGCAGGCGGAAUGCGUGGUGUAGCGGUGAAAUGCAUAGAUAUCACGCAGAACCCCGAUCGCGAAGGCAGCCUGCCAGGCCGUGACUGACACUGAUGCACGAAAGCGUGGGUAUCGAACAGGAUUAGAUACCCUGGUGGUCCACGCAGUAAACGAUGAUCACUAGCUGUUUGCGAUAGAAUGUAAGCGGCACAGCGA